GGGCUGCAGUGGGGAAUUUUGGACAAUGGGCGAAAGCCUGAUCCAGCCAUUCCGCGUGAGUGAAGAAGGCCUUCGGGUUGUAAAGCUCUUUCGCAAGGGAAGAACACUUAUCCUCUAACAUAGGAUGAGGUUGACGGUACCUUGAUAAGAAGCACCGGCUAACUACGUGCCAGCAGCCGCGGUAAUACGUAGGGUGCGAGCGUUAAUCGGAAUUACUGGGCGUAAAGCGUGCGCAGGCGGUUUUGUAAGUCAGAUGUGAAAUCCCCGAGCUCAACUUGGGAACUGCGUUUGAAACUACAAGACUAGAAUAUGUCAGAGGGGGGUAGAAUUCCACGUGUAGCAGUGAAAUGCGUAGAGAUGUGGAGGAAUACCAAUGGCGAAGGCAGCCCCCUGGGAUAAUAUUGACGCUCAUGCACGAAAGCGUGGGGAGCAAACAGGAUUAGAUACCCGUGUAGUC
rnacentral:rRNA from 1 species